ACGGACUUUAUCUAGUUUAGUAUGAACAGCUCAUUCAUUACUUGAAGAAUUAUUCAGCUAUUACCAAAAGAAAAUGAACUUACCCACUAAUAAUUUUAAAGUAAUUGGCCCACAGUCAUUGCAUCACUCUUCCUUUUAAAAGUAAAGCACCUGUUUAGUGGUAUAUAAUAAAUCAAAACUUAAAAUUUCUUCUUCAUGUAGAAUCACCAUUACUUCACCUCUUUCAAUUGAAUACUAAAGAAUGUGAGGAAGAACGUCCAUAAUCUGAGGUCCCAAUCCAGCAUGGCACAUUAAGCCUCAAAAGGCUACUGUUUCUCUACUAUUAAUGGGUUCCAAACAUUGGGUUAUUCAUGUCAACUGCAUCACUUACCAUUUGCCUUUAUGAAUUUGCAGGAAAGGGACAUUCCUGUUCUUA
rnacentral:misc_RNA from 1 species